UCCCUUAGUAGCGGCGAGCGAAGCGGGAAGAGCCCAGCACCGAAUCCCCUACCUGUGAGGCAGUGGGACCUGUGGUGUUUAGGAUAGCCUCUGGGAUCCCGCCGUGUGUCCGAGUCCUCCUGAUCGGGGCCUUUCCCAUAGUGGGUGUCAGGCCUCUACUGGCAUGCGGUGGGGUUUCUUUGAGCGUCCUUGGAGUCGGGUUGUUUGGGAAUGCAGCCCAAAGCGGGUGGUAACUCCAUCUAGGCUAAUACUGACACGAGUCCGAUAGCGACAGUACCG
rnacentral:rRNA from 1 species